rnacentral:tRNA from 1 species
GCCUCGGUAGCUCAGUUGGUAGAGCAAAGGACUGAAAAUCCUUGUGUCCGCGGUUCGAUUCCGCGCUGAGGCACCA